rnacentral:lncRNA from 1 species
AUAUGUCUAAGUUCGACUCUUUAUGCCAUUAUAGGAUUCCCAUGUCACAAGACCCAAUCCUCAUGCUACCCUAGUCUAUGUGUCCAACCCAUAGUUACACUACUAAGAAGCAUGCAAGGAAUUAGAAUUUGCAACUAUCUACUAAUCCUAUAAUGCAAUAUGAUCAAGCAGAUAUAUAACUUAGACAUAAAAAGAAAUCCGGAUGCUUCGGGAUGACACCCCCCACCUUUUGUGUAUACGGAGGCUCUAGAAAUGCGCUUCGGCGUUCUUUACGACGAAGCCUCGGUCUCCUUGGUCCAAAUGAUGCUCAAUCGGCCUUAUUUUUCCGAUAGCUCUUGACCCGCUCGACGAAUCGAAAUUCCGACUUCGCCCCCGCGUUUCGUUACCUAGCAAUUAGGUUUACAAGGCCUCAAAUGAGAUCAAUCUCAUACUUUUCUAAAAACCCCAUUUUGGUGCCCUAGGGUUAGCAUCAAGCUAAACCCAUCUCAAAACCCUAGAUUAUAGCUCCAAUCCUACCAUUCAUGGUGCUAGGGAUCCAUUUGAUCCCAUCCAAAGAGCUAAAACCCAAAAACCCUAAAUUUCACAAGCUAGGUUUGGAUAGCUUACCUCUUAGCUACACCAAGUAGAAGAGGAGAGGGAGAGGAAGAUGUCGAAGGUCUUCCUCUUGAUCUCCUUCUUCUUCUCCUUCCUUUCCUUCUCUUCCUUUCCUUCUUCUCCUUCUUGUUCUUCUCUUUUCCUUCUAGAGAGAGAGAGAAAGCAAGAGUGUGAGGGAGGGAGUGAAAUGAGAGAUGAGAGGGGGAAGAGGGCAUAUGCCCCUCUAUUGUAACAAUAUCCAUCCAAGCCUCUCCACUUUUUACUCUGUGCACUGCCCCUCACUUGGCAUUCUGCGCCCAGAGGGACCGGUCUCCCCGACUUGGGACCGGUCCCCGAGAGCUUCAGCUCGGGUCACGCAUUCGGGUACCGGUCUCUCUCCGAGAGACCGAUCUUCGGGAGACCGGUCCUUGCCUGUGAGACCGGUCCCUGAGAGCAAUAUUUUCAGGACUUAGCCAAAUUUCUGGCUUUCUCGCUGGGUUCCCGUUCGGGGACCGGUCCCUCACCGCCAGGGACCGAUUGCCUCAAGCAACCCCGCAACACCAGCCGAUAGGACCGGUCCCUUCCUGCCAGGGACCGGUCCCCGAGAGCAAUUUUGCUCCAGUGCAGAUUUUGCACUCUUUGCUCUCGUGGACUCAUUUCCAAUGCACUUUUGGUGAUUUUAAUAUCUUUGGCUUUUCCAAAGCACACCAAUACGACCCUUGGUCGAUUCUGGAUGAAGUCUAACUCUCGUAUUUCGAGAAUUCACUUCCUUACAUCCUCCCCUUCUAAAAAAGAGUUUCGUUCUCGAAACGAAUUCAAUAACUCAUACCUCAUUGCAUUUCCGUGAAAAGAUGAGGAUAAUGCACUUUCAUCGAUUCCUCGAGUUCCCACGUAGCCUCACGAUCGCUGUGAUUGGUCCAACGAAUCUUCACAUAGGGAAUCUCACGGUUUCUCAAUUUCCGCACUUCUCGAGCAAUGAUCAUCGCCGGAAACUCUUCAUAACUUAGAUCUUCUUGUAGAUCCGGCGGUUCAUAAUACAUCACGUGCUCAGGGUCGUGGAUAUACUUGCGAAGGUUAGAAACGUGGAAUACAUCAUGCACCCCCGCGAGCUUCGGCGGUAAUGCAAGUCGGUACGCUACCGCUCCAACACGUUCCAACACUUCGAAUGGCCCGAUAUAUCGAGGACUAGCUUUCUCCGCACUCCGAAGCGUUUCACACCUCUCAUAGGUGAAACCUUCAAGAAAACGCGGUCACCCACUGCGAAUUCCAAGUCUCUACAGCGUUUGUCAGAAUAGCUCUUUUGCCUCGACUGUGCCGUAAGUAGCCUCUCGCGAGCGAGACAGACCUUCUCUUCCACCUCCCGCAAUAUGUCUGGGCCCAAUACCGCAUGCUCACCUACAUCGCUCCAACAUAUAGGGGAUCGGCACUUCCGUCCAUAUAGGACCUCAAACGGUGCCAUCCCAAUGCUAGCUUGGUAACUGUUAUUGUAGGCGAACUCGGCCAUCCUCAAAUGGUUUGCCCAACGACCCUUAUAGUCAAUGACACACGCUCGCAACAUAUCCUCCAGAAUAUAGUCCUCUCUGACUGUCCAUCUGUCUAAGGAUGAAACGCGGUGCUGAAAUUGAGCCGUGUGCCAAGUGCUUCCUGCAGGUUUUUCCAAAAUUGCGUAGUAAAACGGGGGUCUCGAUCUGACACGAUCGACUUCGGAACCCCGUGCAACCUCACAACUUCAUCUAAGUACACCUGCGCCAAUUUGUCACCCGACCAGGUGGUGUGAAUCGGUAGAAAGUGUGCCUACUUGGUCAUACGAUCCACAAUCACCCAGAUCGCGUCGUGGCCACCCGUCGAACGGGGCAAUCCGACCACGAAGUCCAUAGCAAUAUUCUCCCAUUUCCAAACGGGGAUAGGUAGACUUUGGAGCUUUCCCGCUGGAAAUCGGCGUUCAGCCUUCACUUGCUGGCAUACCAAGCACUGCGCCACAUAGCGCCCAAUGUCAGCUUUCAUGCCCGGCCACCAGUACUGCAUUUUUAGAUCACGGUACAUCUUGGUGCCGCCCGGGUGAAUACUAUAAGGAGUCCGAUGCGCUUCUUGUAAAAUUAAUUUCCGGACCUCCUCGUUUUCCGGUACGCACCAUCGGUUUCGAAACCGAAGCGCACCCUCGGCGUCUACACUGAAAUCACCGCCGCGUCCACUCUCGAUGUCCCGCCGCACCUUUUGGAGAUUGGGGUCUGCAGAUUGCAAACUCUUAAUCUGCUCCAACAAGGUCGGUUGGACAACGAGAGCCAUAAGCAUAGGCGGGGUUUCCGGAGCUACUACUUCGAGAUCCAUACGUUCCAUCUCUCUCCACAGUGGCUCUUGACGUGUGACCAACAUAGCCAGAUUCUCCACUGACUUCCUGCUAAGCGCGUCGGCCACCACGUUUGCUUUUCCGGGGUGGUAUAGGAUUGUAACAUCGAAAUCCUUUAGCAACUCUAACCACCGCCGUUGCCGCAUGUUGAGCUCCUUCUGCGUGAAAAGGUACUUCAGGCUUUUGUGGUCCGUAUAUAUUUCGCAUCGCGCGCCAUACAAGUAGUGCCUCCAUAACUUGAGAGCAAACACUACCGCGGCUAACUCUAGGUCGUGGACAGGGUAAUUCUUCUCAUAGCUUUUUAGCUGACGGGACGCAUAAGCGAUCACCUUCCCGCCCUGCAUCAGAACACACCCUAAGCCCGAUUGUGACGCGUCGCUAUACACCACGAAGUCUUCAUCUUGCACCGGUAAGGCGAGCACCGGAGUCGAAGUUAAUCUAUCCUUCAACUCUUGGAAACUCCGGUCACACUCACCGCUCCACACGAACUUCGUGCCUUACUCCACCCUCAGAAAUGACAUGCCCAAGAAAUGCAACCUCUCGGAGCCAAAAGUCGCAUUUCUUAAACUUAGCAUACAGCUUCUCCUCCCGAAGGACUUGAAGCACGAUUCUCAGAUGCUCGGCAUGUUCCUCGUCGCUACGAGAAUAGAUCAAGAUGUCGUCUAUGAAGACCACGACAAAUCGGUCCAAGUACUCCUUGAAGACACGGUUCAUCAGAUCCAUGAACGCUGCCGGGGCGUUAGUAAGCCCAAACGGCAUGACCGUGAAUUCAUAGUGUCCAUACCGCAUACAAAACGCGGUCUUUUGCACAUCUUCCGGCUUAAUCUUGAAUUGAUGAUAACCGGACUGCAGAUCAAUCUUUGAAUAAACCCGAGAUCCUUGCAACUGAUCAAAUAAAUCAUCGAUCCUGGGCAACGGGUACUUAUUUUUUAUCGUAACCUUGUUCAACUCGCGAUAGUCUACGCAGAGUCCAAACGAUCCGUCCUUCUUUCGCACAAACAGAACCGGGGCUCCCCACGGCGAUACACUUGGCCGUACAAAUCCCUUAUCGAGGAGAUCUAUCAAUUGAGCCCGCAGCUCCUUCAGUUCUGCCGGCGCCAUCCAAUACGGAGCCUUCAAGAUAGGUGCGGUUCCUGGAACCAAAUCUAUCACGAACUCGAUCUUCCGGUCUGGCGGCAUUCCCGGUAACUCCGCGGGAAAAACGUCCGGGAACGCUCGGACCACGGCUAGUUCCUCGAGUGUCGGAGUCUUCCUGUGGACUUCUACAACGGUCGCCAAAUAGGCCAUACAACCGCUAUUAAUCAACUUCCUCGCCCUCGUCGCCGACACCAUCGCGGCGAAGCGUGAGCUUCUACAGGCCCGGUAGGUGAAUUCCUCUUGGCCCGGCUCUCGAAACGUUAUUACUUUACUUCUGCAGUGAAUAGUCGCAUAGUACUUCAAGAGCCAAUCCAUUCCUAAAAUGACGUCGAAGUCUUUCAACUUCUUGAACACCAAUAUACGAAUGGGCAUUAUCCAAUCGCCCAACCGCACCGGACAAGACGAACGCUCCUUACGGACUAGAAAAUCACGUCUGGGGCCCGAUACUCUCCAAGUGCUUUUACUCUCUUGUAGCUCUAUGUCAUGCAUGCGUGCAAAUGACCUACUGAUGAAUGAAUGCGUAGCACCUGUAUCAAACAUAGCCCUGGAGCGAACUCCGUUAAUUAAAACCAUACCUACGAGUACAUGGCGAUCCCCCGCCUCAGCAGGUUCCUCGGCUUGGGUUUGGGCGGCAAACACCCACCCACUCGGAGCCGAUCUCGUCGCCUCAGAUUGGCGUGGUACCAUCGCACAUCCAGCCGACGACGCAGUAGGUGGGACACCUCCAUAAUGCGCCGGAGUCGCCAGAGCCGAUGCGACCGAAGGGGCAGGCGAAGUCCUCAUUAGACAGUAGCGGUUGAUAUGGCCUGCCUGUCCACACGUGAAGCACUUCCCUUCCCGUUGAUCACACAUCCUUGACUCGUGGUUCCCACCACAGAUUGUGCACCGCUGCGGUCCGCGGCCCUUGGAUUGCGUUCACGGGUACUUCGGGGGCCUUUUUGACUUGGCUUGAGCUCCCGAACUACUUUGGGCCCGCUUCUUGCCACCGUCCUUCUCGGACGCUUCUCGCUCCUCCCGGAUGUGAGCGUUUCCUUGCUCCGCCCACAACGCUCUGUCGAGCACCUCCGCGAAGGUAGUGAGCUUCAGAAUGUGCACCGCCCGGUAGAUAUCAGCCCGGAGCCCUCGCUCGAACCAAUCGGCUCGAUCCCUGUCAUACCGCACUACGUCGGGGACGCAAUCAAUGAUGUGAGAGAACUCCCGCUCAUAUUCCGCUACCGUGCGGCUACCUUGCUUCAACUUUCGAAAUUGCUCCUGGAGUUUCUUCUUCUCGCUGUCGAGGAAGUAGUUAACAUAGAACAAUCCCCGAAACUCCUCCCACGUCAACGGCGGAAGGUCGGAAGCUCGGUUUCUCUUGAUUCGCUUCCACCAAACCUUCGCCGUUCACUCCAAACAAUGAAUGACGAGGUAGACCUUGUCCCUCUCCAAGGUGUAGAGGUCCUCGAACAAGGUCUCCAUUGAGUCCACCCACGACUCAACCAUCCAUGGCUCGACCUUCUCUCCCUCGAAAGUCGGUGGAUUAAACCUUCGGAACUUCUCGAGAGCCGCAAGUGCGCACUCCCUCUCCGCCUCCAAUGCCGUCGCAUCGGGUGUCGUAGAACCCGAUGCCGCCGGAGGAACGCUCGCCGGCGGAGGACGUGCCGCCACCGGAACUGCCGCAAUGCCCUCACCCUCAGCCACCGUAGGCGCACGAGCUGGAGGCGGGGGCGGAUCACGGCCCUCAGUCACAACUGCAGUUGCCGCCGCAAAAUGCCACUCCAUAAGCCCUUAGAGCUGCUCGAACCGACUCUCCUGGCGCUGCACAAUGCCGGUCAAUGCCGACACCUGCGCACGUAACUCCUGUACUUAGAUCCGGCUUCCUCGAGCACCUCAGGAGACGGUGCGGAACGGACCUACGUACGUAGCGUCUUGGGGACAUUAUCUCCUGCAACGCAACAACCGGGUUAGUCAUCUAACCCACUUAACUCCGUCGCAUACACUAUAUUACGCGACUCAACUCCGCCAUAAGCGGACGUACACCAUUGUAUUAGUCCUAACUCUUAGCGUCGUGUUGUCGGCCGCCAACACAAACUCCUCGAGCUUAGAACUAACACCGCUCGGAUCCAUCUCUAGCCACACUAGAGAUCUAUACUCGAUCCGACCUAAUCGGAUUCUUCUUCAACCGAUAUAGGUUUACGUUUCUCUCACGUACCUACACAACACUAGGGUUCACCGUCCUAAGGUCUCUUAGGUCCAUCCUAGACUCUCUCUUUACUUGUUCUUAAUUGCUCUGAUACCAACAACACUGUCACGCCCUGCCCAGAAUCCACUACCAAUUUGGCACGGUUCGGGCGCACCGGACGGACCGCCGAACGGACAGCGCAUCUCCUGUCCGCCCAAGGCCAAGCAACCAGAUCAUGUACAGAUAAGCGCCCAGGGAAUGCUUAAAUAACAUACAUGAUCGAUACGAUGCACACAAGUGCACUAUAACUAAGAGCAAGAACCACAAGUGAAUAUACAAGUGUACAAAGAGAGAGAGUCUAACUAUUACAAUCAUUCAACAUUUACAUCAUUUGAAUAUAUUAUAUUUUCAUCUUCCAAAAUGUGAAUACAUGUUUUCCUCAAAAUACAAGUAGCUCUCCAAUAACUAUCCAAAACAUCAUCUAGUACACGUGUACUCUAAUGCAUAAAAGAAAAGCUACUAACUAGGCUCACUUAGGGCGCUAUGCCCUUGCCGCGGUCCUCGCUCGGCUCGCCUCUGUGUGUACCUGUACCCCAAAACCACACGGGGUGAGAACUAUAUAAAUAUAGUUCCCAGUGGGUUCGGCCGCCGACGCCGCCGGUUUUCCCACUAGGUCUAAGCUGGCACAGAUAGAGAGAUAGAUAGAUAUAUAGAAAAUGAACUGCAACUACUCUAUCAUGCCAUCAAUGAUAAUAAUGCAUGCAACAACUACUAUCAUGCUAGUAUCAUGUCAUGAGUAUAUAAAAGUGCAUAGCAAUGUAAUCUACAACAUACACUAUGUCUACUCAAGGUAAUAAUGCAAGUCUACUAUGCAUUUCAUGUUUAUUACCCAAUCUACUUGGUUAACCCGUAGGUUAAACCCUCGACUCACUCUCAAUCUCAUAGGUGAGGAGAAACUGCACUCGCACACCGAGACCGUCUGCGGGACAACUACGUCUGCCCCUAGUGAAGUACUCCGGAGACUCGUGCCUCGGUGGAGCGACCACCGACAAGCAAAAACAGACUAGUGAGUAUGAUCCAAUCCUCACAAGAGGAUACCCUGUCUACUAGGGUCAAUGUGCCUCUGCUGCACAGUCAUGAUAUAUAAUCAAUGUUGGGACUUCUACUAUCCCUAGGUUCAUGUCAAGUUUACUACACUAGACUCAAUGCCACUCGUUCGAUCAUUGUAGUAAGUUUUCUACUAAUUGACAUGCCACUCGUUCAAGUUUAGUGUCUCUACUACACUAGUUCAAUGCCACUCUACUAGGCUAUGUCCAAGUUCGGCUCUUUAUGCCGCUAUAGGAUUCUAUGCCAUAAGACCCAAUCCUCAUGCUACCCUAGUCUAGGUGUUCAACUCAUAAGUACACUACUAAGAAGCAUGCAAGGAAAAAGAAAAUAUACAUUUAUUAAUCCUAUAAUGCAAUAUGAUCAACACAUAUGUAACUUAGACAUAAAAAGAAACCCGGAUGUUCCGGAACGACACCCCCCACCUUUUGCGUAUAAGGAGGCUCUAGAAGUGCGCUUCGGCGUCCUUUACGACGAAGCCUCGGUCUUCUUGGUCCAAAUGAUGCUCAAUCGGCCUUAUUUUGCCGAUAGCUCUUGACCCGCUCGACGAAUCGAAAUUCCGACUUCGCCCCCGCGUUUCGUUACCUAGCAAUUAGGUUUACAAGGCCUCAAAUGAGAUCAAUCUCAUACUUUUCCAAAAACCCUAUUUUGGUGCCCUAGGGUUAGCAUCAAGCUAAACCCAUCUCAAAACCCUAGAUUCUAGCUCCAAUCCUACCAUUCAUGGUGCUAGGAAUCCAUUUGAUCCCAUCCAAAGAGCUAAAACCCAAAAAUCCUAAAUUUCACAAGCUAGGGUUGGAUAGCUUACCUCUUAGCUACACCAAGGAGAAGAGGUGAGGGAGAGGAAGAUGUCCAAGGUCUCCUCUUGAUCUCCUUCUUCUCCUUCCUUUCCUUCUCUUCCUUUCCUUCUUCUACUUCUUGUUCUUCUUCUCUUUUCCUUCUAGAGAGAUAGAGAAAGCAAGAGAGUGUGAGGGAGGGAGUGAAAUGAGAGAUGAGAGAGGGAAGGGGCCCAUAUGCCCCUCUAUUGUAACAAUAUCCAUCCAAGCCCCUCCACUUUUCACUCUUUGCACUGCCCCUCACUGGGCAUUCUGCGCCCAGAGGGGCCGGUCUCCCCGACUUGGGACCGGUCCCCGAGAGCUUCAGCUCGGGUCAAGCGUUCGGGUACCGGUCUCUCGGAGUCUCUCUUCGAGAGACCGGUCCUCGGGAGACCGGUCCUUGCCUGUGAGACCGGUCCCCGAGAGCAAUAUUUUCAGGACUUAGCCAAAUAUCUGGCUUUCUCGCUGGGUUCGCGUUCGGGGACCGAUCCCUCCCCGCCAGGGACCGGUUGCCUCAAGCAACCCCGCAACACCAACCGAUGGGACCGGUCCCUCCCUGCCAGGGACCGGUCCCCGAGAGCAAUUUUGCUCCAGUGCAGAUUUUGCACUCUUUGCUCUCGUGGACUCAUUUCCAAUGCACUUUUGGUGAUUUUAAUAUCUUUGGCUUUUUCAAAGCACACCAAUACGACCCUUGGUCGAUUCUCGAUGAAGUCUAACUCUCGUAUUUCGAGAAUUCACUUCCUUACAAUUAUAAUGGCAGGUAGUGCCUGAGGUCGACUAAUCAAUAUGGCAGGUUGUGGAUUGAGUACAGGUUUUGGACUAUUCAUUCAUUGAGGCAUAUAGUGCUAGGUUUCUUUUACAGUAGCAGCAAGUUGAUUAUUUAUUGUUCAUAUUUAUAUCUCUUACUACUAUAGAUUUACAUUUCAGUACAUUAUAUCCAUCUCUAUAUCUCUCUUUUUUUUUCUUUUCCUAUGAAUACGACUUGCCUUCGUGGCUCUGUCGUACCCACUGAAAAAUCUUAGGUUGGUUUCUUACCCCAUGGUAUUCCACAGGUGGCACGAAUGAAGAGGCAAAUCAGGGCAAGGUGUGAGAUUCUCGGUCUAGUUAGCUUGCAUUAGUGGUCCCCAAUUUGUUACAAUUUUAUUCCUUAUUUUAUUUCAUUUAUUGUUUUUAGAUAUUGAUGGUGGUUCAGUUAGACUUGUUUAUUGUGAAUGGAUGACAACUUGUGGAUAUCUAGUUAGUGUUUGGUUAUUAUGGUACUUGAAUAUUAUGUGGAUUUAGGCACCGGUGAUUGUUGGUUUUAUGAUUUAUGGUUUCAGUUUUCUGGAUUUUAUAGCAAACUAUUUUCUAUACCUCGUGGUAGCCGAUUUUCAAAACAUGAUGUUUCCGCGUGGGAAACGAUUUUCAAACAGUUUUCAAAUUGGA